GUCUUCUCUGGUGACUACCGCAC
rnacentral:piRNA from 1 species